UUUCUUAUUACAUCAUCAUAUACAUGUGACAUACGGGCCUAAUAGGCCAACAUGAUCCUUUAUAAAUUCAAAACAUAGGCCGACAAGGCCGUACAAUCUUUCACGUACACGAUAUAUGUCUACAAGCCUCUAAGAGUAUAUAAAUGUCAUAAAGGUCGGGACAGAGUCCCGCCAUACCAAAUGAUACACGUCUAAAUCAUACUAACCAAACAUGCAACUCCAAAGCAAAUGGAGCGCACCAACAUCUCCCGUUGAGCUGAUAGCCUACUUGGAGGGCUCUCGACCCAUCUAUUUAGACCUGCGGGCAUGAAAGGCAGCAUCCCCAGGCAAAAAGGGAUGUCAGUACGAAUAAUGUACUGAGUAUGUAAGACACAUAAAUAAGUACAUGACAGACACAGAGGAAAUAUAAAGUAAAUGACUCCACCUGUAAGUCUGAAUAACUUUGUAACUCAUGAAACAAUUAUAGUAUCAUGCAUAUGCGUAUGAAUGUCAUGUCGUGUAUAGGUAGAUGUUUAAUAUCAUCAGCCUCUGAGGGCAUCCCAUCAUAUCAUAUCAGCCACUAUGGGCAAAAUCAUCAUUUUAUACCAGCCGAUCAGGUGGUGAUGCGUAUAUAACGCCAUAACCUUUCCCAUAUCCCAUAUACAUAUAUAUACAUACAUAUAUACGCGUAUAUAACGCCAUUUGAAAAAUAUUUCAGCUACUGUGGGUAACAUCAUCAUCAUAUACCAGCUAAUCAGGUGGUGCGUAUAUAACGCCGUAACCUUUUUCCAUAUCCUAUAUACAUAUAUUUACAUAUAUACGCAUAUAUAACGCCAUCUGGUCAUGGGUCAAUGCACUUGUAUAAAUGAGUAAAAUGCAUGAAAAAUACAUAAUAAUCUCGAUAUUUCCUUCCGGAUAAAUUUUUCCAACUUGCGUGUUAUUCUGAGACCCAUGAACAGAAGAUAAUAAUAAUUCUCAUGGGGAAUCAAGAAUAUAGACACCCCUACUGUUUCUAUGAAUAGAGUAAUUUAUAGAAAUUGUGUAUUUGCUCGUUUCUUCAGUAAAAUUUGGACCAUGCCAAAAGAAAAAAGGGAGGGCCUUAACAUACCUGUCCCUGAAAUUAUUUGAACGAAUGUGCUUCUGCGAAAUUUACACACGAAAUUUGGCUUUGGAUUUUUGUUGAAAUUUUGGACGAACUGCUUCUGUUCUUGCUUUAGAACUGGAGGAAUGGUUUUAAACCAACACUUGACUCCAAUGUUUUUUGAAACUUUGUUGAAGCUUUUGUUUUUAAGGUAUUGAUUUCAAUUCAAAGAAUGAAUUGAAGCUUCUAAUUCUCGUUUUUCCUACCUUCAGAAAGUA
rnacentral:lncRNA from 1 species